ACUUAGGUAGCUUAUAUAAAGUUUAACAUUGAAGCUGUUAAGAUAAGAUUAGAUUCUUCUUAAGUA
rnacentral:tRNA from 1 species